rnacentral:tRNA from 1 species
GGCAUCUUGGCGGAGUGGUUAUCGCGCUAGCCUAGAAAGCUAGUUCCUUCGGGAGCGUAGGUUCGAGUCCUACAGAUGUCG